rnacentral:lncRNA from 1 species
GUCUCAGGGGCUGGCUAAGCUGAGUACUCUUGUGUCCAGGAGCAAUCUCCUCCAGAGAGCUGGCUGGAAACUGGGACUUCUGGACUUGAGAUCUCUCUGCCUCCUGCAAGGCAGCUCUGUAGGUGUAGGUCCCAGAACACAGGUGGUCAUGACCUUCCUGACUUCUCAAGGAGGUGAGAACCCCAAAAAAGAAGUGAUCAUGCCUUCCCUGACUGCUCAAAAAGGAGUGAAAACACCACAAAUAGGAGGUGGUCACACCCUCCCUGACAUCUCAAGAAGGGAGAUGAAAACACCAAAGGAAAUGGGAAAUCAAAUCAGAUUAGCGGGUCUCUGCAGGGGCUCACUCUUAAAACAGGAAACCUUUAACUGUGGGGAAGAAGACAUUGAACUUCAACAAAUCAGAAGCAUCUUACCGUAGAAAAGAAAGGAGUUUUAAUUUGACAGAGCUCGGGAGAUUUGAGCAUCUCCCCACCACCUAAGGUGGUCUGGCAGUGAAGAGAG